rnacentral:lncRNA from 1 species
UUAGAGCUAACACGCAAAGUCGGGGAUCAUAAAAACCGACCGAAAGAACAUAGAGCUAAUACGCAAAGUCGGGGAUCAUAAAACCGGACCGAAAGAACUUAGAGCUAAUACGCAAAGUCGGGGAUCAUAAAAACGGACCGAAAGAAUUUAGAGCUGAUACGCAAAGUCGGGGAUCAUAAAAACGACCGAAAGAACUUAGAGCUAAUACGCAAAGUCGGGGAUCAUAAAAACGACCGAAAGAACUUAGAGCUUAUUCGCAAAGUCGGGGAUCAUAAAAACAAACGAAAGAACGUAGAGCUAAUACGCAAAGUCGGGGAUCAUAAAAACGGAAUGAAUGAACUUAGAGCUAAUACGCAAACUCAGGGAUCAUAAAAACGGACUGAAAGAACUUUGAGCUAAUACGCAAAGUCGGGGAUCAAAAAACCGGUCCGAAAGAACUUUGAGCUAAUACGCAAAGUCGGGAAUCAUAAAAACGGACCGAAAGAACUUAGAGCUAAUACGCAAAGUCGGGGAUCAUAAGAAACGACCGAAAGGACUUAGAGAUAAUACGCAAAAUCGGGGAUCAUAAAAACUGACCGAAAGAACUUAGAGCUAAUACGCAAAGUCGGGGAUCAUAAAAACGGACCGAAAGAACUUAGAGCUAAUACGCAAAGUCGGGGAUCAUAAAAACGGACCGAAAGAACUUAGAGCUAAUACGUAAAGUAAGGGAUCAUAAAAACAGACCGAAAGAACUUAGAGCUAAUACGCAAAGUCGGGGAUCACAAAAACGGACCGAAAGAACAUAGAGCUAAUACGCUAAGUCGGGGAUCAUAAAAACGAACGAAAGAACUUAGAGCUAAUACGCAAAGUCAGAGAUCAUAAAAACGGACCGAAAGAACUUAAAGCUAAUACGCAAAGUCGAGGAUCAUAAAAACGGACCGAAAGAACUUAGAGAUAAUACGCAAAGUCGGGGAUCAUAAAAACGGACCGAAAGAACUUAGGGCUAAUACGCAAAGUCGGGGAUCAUAAAAACGGACCGAAAGAACUUAGAGCUAAUACGCAAAGUCGGGAAUCAUAAAAACGGACCGAAAGAACUUAGAGCUAAUACGCAAAGUCGGGGAUCAUAAGAAACGACCGAAAGGACUUAGAGAUAAUACGCAAAAUCGGGGAUCAUAAAAACUGACCGAAAGAACUUAGAGCUAAUACGCAAAGUCGGGGAUCAUAAAAACGGACCGAAGGAACUUAGAGCUAAUAUGCAAAGUCGGGGAUCAUAAAAACGGACCAAAA